rnacentral:rRNA from 1 species
UACGUAGGGUGCAAGCGUUAAUCGGAAUUACGGGGCGUAAAGCGUGCGCAGGCGGCUUUGCAAGACAGAUGUGAAAUCCCCGGGCUUAACCUGGGAACUGCAUUUGUGACUGCAUGGCUGGAGUGCGGCAGAGGGGGAUGGAAUUCCGCGUGUAGCAGUGAAAUGCGUAGAUAUGCGGAGGAACACCGAUGGCGAAGGCAAUCCCCUGGGCCUGCACUGACGCUCAUGCACGAAAGCGUGGGGAGCAAACAGG